rnacentral:rRNA from 1 species
CCUACGGGGAGCAGCAGUGGGGAAUAUUGCGCAAUGGGCGAAAGCCUGACGCAGCGACGCCGCGUGAGGGAUGAAGGUCUUCGGAUCGUAAACCUCUGUCAGCAGGGAAGAACGGUCACUGUGCUAAUCAGCAGUGAAUUGACGGUACCUGCAAAGGAAGCACCGGCUAACUCCGUGCCAGCAGCCGCGGUAAUACGGAGGGUGCGAGCGUUAAUCGGAAUUACUGGGCGUAAAGCGCUCGUAGGCGGUAUGUCAAGUCAAGGGUGAAAUCCCCGCGCUCAACGUGGGAACUGCCUUUGAAACUGGCAAACUGGAGUGUGUGAGAGGAUAGUGGAAUUCCAGGUGUAGGAGUAAAGCCGUAGAUAUCUGGAGGAACAUCAGUGGCGAAGGCGACUAUCUGGCACAUAACUGACGCUGAGGAGCGAAAGCGUGGGUAGCAAACAGGAUUAGAUACCCUAGUAGUC